ensembl:lncRNA
CACGGUUGAAUACAUUUUUAUUUCACUAAACGUGCAUUGAUUUGCAUAUGACAAGUAGUGACAGUUUAACUUGAAACUGACAUUAAAUAAUAGCGGAGGUGGAGCAGUCCAGACUUUGCCUAAAAUUGUGGCCUAUUUUUCCUCUCAGUUACAUUCUACAGAGUGGUCACGGUCACUAACAAAUUCCAGCAUGACGAGCAGCAAGCAACACAUUCAUCAGGCAUCUUAAGAACUAGAUUAAUGGAUCUUGAUUUAGAAAACAAAUUGGAUAUAAUUUCUUUAUGAAAAAGUUCUCACAGAUUAAAAGUCAGGGAAGAGCUUCAAGACAUUUGUUUCCCAUUCAUUAGUUGCCGACUAAGAGCAACCUGAUGAAAGGGGUGUGAAUUAGGGGAUAAGGUUAAUUUGCUCUGUGCACAUUCAAAUAAAAUGUCAAUUACUGCGCAGAAUAUGGACGAAUUUCACAACGCUAAAUAACAUGGUCCAUAUUCCUCUUCAACUAGUUGGCCAGACACUGUAUGACUCAACACUGCCACCCAGAGGCAAAUGCAUAAUCUGCCAAGAGAUUUCUUGGCUGUGGGGAUCACUUUGCUGUUGGCUGUUCUGAAUCUUUUGCAGGUCAGUACCCAUAGAGAUUAAAAAAACAUAUCCUAGCCCCUGUUAUAGGAGAUAGUAUAGACAUAUAGUGUAAAAUUCGUUAUAAGAAGUCCUAGUCCUAAGUAUUGGGACAUACAACUGACUGUACUGUUAAACAGACAUGUAGCUGUUAACGUGGGCAGACUUGCCCUCUGGAGUUGGCUGCCACCUACACACCAAACAAUGACUGUUCCUCAGGGGGUUCUCUGGGAAGUAGUUUUAUGCCAUACUGUAAUGAUUCAGAUAGCCCUUGGUCAAUGCCCAUUUUCCAAACCAUUUUGCUCUUUACAGAACCACAGGGUUCAUCAAAUGUUUUGCCUUAUGAGGAUGGUUCCUAAUUGAACGUUCAAUACACCAUUGUCUACUUAGAAAACCUUUUUUUCAGAGGAGGAAAGGGAACCCAGACAACUGGUUGCUGAACCCUAAAUCCAACGCAUGAAUCAUUUGAACAUGCUACGGAUGCGAUGCAGUAUCAAAUGACCUCUGACCUGUCCUCAACAAACCCACAAAC